rnacentral:rRNA from 1 species
GAUGAACGCUGGCGGCGUGCCUAAUACAUGCAAGUCGAGCGAACAGACGAUGAUCUUGCUCCUCUGACGUUAGCGGCGGACGUGUGAGUAACACGUGUAUACCCUACCUGUAAUACUGGUAUAACUUCGGGAAUCCGGAUCUAAUACCGGAUAAUAUAUUGAACCACAGGGGUCAAUAGUGAAAUACGGUUUUUCUGUCACUUAUAGAUGUAUCUGCGCCGCAUUAGAUAGUUGGUAAGUUAACGGGUUACCAAGGCAACGAGGCGUAGCCGACCUGAGAGAGUGAUAGCCCACCCUGGAGCUGAGACACGGUCAAGAGUCCUGCGAGAGGCAGCAGUCGGGAACGUUCCGCAAUGGGCGAAAACAUGACGGAACAGCCCGGCGCGAGAGACGAAGGUCUUCGGAUCGUAAUGAUCUGUUAUUAGGGAAGAACAAAUGUGUCAGUAACUAUGCCCGUAUUGACGGUACUGAAUCAGAAAGCAACGGCUAACUACGUG